rnacentral:rRNA from 1 species
AGAGUUUGAUUCUGGCUCAGAACGAACGCUGGCAGCGUGGAUUAGGCAUGCAAGUCGAACGCAAGUCGGAGUGUCCGCAAGGAUACUGCGAGGAGAGUGGCGGAAGGGUGAGUAACGCGUGGGUAAUCUGUCUUCAAGUUGGGGAUAACCAGGCGAAAGCUUGGCUAAUACCGAAUGUGGUCACCGGGCGCAUGCUUGGAUGACUGAAGGCGGGGCUUCCGAGCAAUCGGAACCUGUCGCUUGAUGAGGAACCCGCGUCCUAUCAGCUUGUUGGUGGGGUAACGGCCCACCAAGGCUUACGGGUAGCUGGUCUGAGAGGAUGGUCAGCCACACUGGGACUGAGACACUGCCCAGACUCCUACGGGAGGCUGCAGUCGAGGAUCAUUCGCAAUGGGCGCAAGCCUGACGAUGCGACGCUGCGUGGAGGAUGAAGGCCCUCGGGUCGUAAACUCCUGUCAUUCGGGAACAAGGGUCCCGGCAUUAAUAACGCCGGGGAGUGAUAGUACCGGAAGAGGAAGCCACGGCUAACUCUGUGCCAGCAGCCGCGGUAAGACAGAGUUGGCGAGCGUUGUUCGGAUUUACUGGGCGUAAAGGGUGCGUAGGUGGCUUUGCGUGUCGGGUGUGAAAUCUCACUGCUCAACGGUGAAAUGGCACCCGAAACUGCAGGGCUAGAGUGCAGGAUGGGAAAGCGGAAUUCUUGGUGUAGCGGUGGAAUGCGUUGAUAUCAAGAAGAACACCGGUGGCGAAGGCGGCUUUCUGGAAUGCAACUGACACUGAGGCACGAAAGUUGGGGGAGCAAACAGGAUUAGAUACCCUGGUAGUCCCAACCCUAAACGGUGCACACUUGGUGUGGGGAGAUUUGACCCUCUCCGUGCCGGAGCUAACGCGAUAAGUGUGCCGCCUGGGGAGUACGGCCGCAAGGCUAAAACUCAAAGAAAUUGACGGGGGCCCGCACAAGCGGAGGAGCAUGUGGCUCAAUUCGAUGCAACGCGAAGAACCUUACCAGGGCUUGACAUGCAGCUGCACGUCCGCCGAAAGGUGGAUUCCUUCGAGGGUGCUGCACAGGUGCUGCAUGGCUGUCGUCAGUUCGUGCCGUGAGGUGUUGGGUUAAGUCCCGCAACGAACGCAACCCCUGUGUCUAGUUGCAACCGUCGGUGUUAAAGCCGGCGAGCACUUUAGACAGACUGCCCGUGCAAGCGGGAGGAAGGUGGGGACGACGUCAAGUCAGUAUGGCCUUUAUGCCCUGGGCUGCACACGUGCUACAAUGGCCGGUACAGAGGGAAGCAAGACCGCGAGGUGGAGCCAAUCCUCAAAACCGGUCCCAGUUCGGAUUGAAGGCUGCAAUUCGCCUUCAUGAAGUUGGAUUCGCUAGUAAUGGCGCAUCAGCUACGGCGCCGUGAAUACGUUCCCGUGCCUUGUACACACCGCCCGUCACAUCAUGAAAGCCUUGUGCACUCGAAGUCGCUGUACCAACCCUGAUUAAUCGUCGGGGAGGAAGGCGCCUAAGGUGUGUGGGGUGAUUGGGAUGAAGUCGUAACAAGGUA